GAUGAACGCUGGCGGCGUGCCUAAUACAUGCAAGUCGAGCGAAUGGAUUAAGAGCUUGCUCUUAUGAAGUUAGCGGCGGACGGGUGAGUAACACGUGGGUAACCUGCCCAUAAGACUGGGAUAACUCCGGGAAACCGGAGCUAAUACCGGAUAACAUUUUGAACCGCAUGGUUCGAAAUUGAAGGGCGGCUUCGGCUGUCACUUCUGGAUGGACCCGCGUCGCAUUAGCUAGUUGGUGAGGUAACGGCUCACCAAGGCAACGAUGCGUAGCCGACCUGAGAGGGUGAUCGGCCACACUGGGACUGAGACACGGCCCAGACUCCUACGGGAGGCAGCAGUAGGGAAUCUUCCGCAAUGGACGAAAGUCUGACGGAGCAACGCCGCGUGAGUGAUGAAGGCUUUCGGGUCGUAAAACUCUGUUGUUAGGGAAGAACAAGUGCUAGUUGAAUAAGCUGGCACCUUGACGGUACCUAACCAGAAAGCCACGGCUAACUACGUGCCAGCCGCCGCCGUAA
rnacentral:rRNA from 1 species